AGUGAACGCUGGCGGUAGGCCUAACACAUGCAAGUCGAACGGCAGCACAGUAAGAGCUUGCUCUUACGGGUGGCGAGUGGCGGACGGGUGAGGAAUACAUCGGAAUCUACUUUUUCGGGGGGGAUAACGUAGGGAAACUUACGCUAAUACCGCAUACGACCUACGGGUGAAAGCAGGGGAUCUUCGGACCUUGCGCGAUUGAAUGAGCCGAUGUCGGAUUAGCUAGUUGGCGGGGUAAAGGCCCACCAAGUCGACGAUCCGUAGCUGGUCUGAGAGGAUGAUCAGCCACACUGGAACUGAGACACGGUCCAGACUCCUACGGGAGGCAGCAGUCGGGAAUAUUGGACAAUGGGCGCAAGCCUGAUCCAGCCAUACCGCGUGGGUGACGAAGGCCUUCGGGUUGUAAAGCCCUUUUGUUGGGAAAGAAAAGCAGCAGGUUAAUACCCCGCUGUUCUGACGGUACCCAAAGAAUAAGCACCGGCUAACUUCGUG
rnacentral:rRNA from 1 species